rnacentral:rRNA from 1 species
AGCAGCCGCGGUAAUUCCAGCUCCAAUAGCGUAUAUUAAAGUUGUUGCAGUUAAAAAGCUCGUAGUUGAAUUUCGGGAUUAAUAUGCUGGUCGUGCCAUUGGUACGUACUAGUAUUAUUGAUUUCUCCCUUNUGAUAAAUCAUGAUGUCAUUAAUUUGAUGUCAUGAGGAAUCAGGACUGUUACUUUGAAAAAUUAGAGUGUUUAAAGCAGGCUCGCGCUUGAAUACAUUAGCAUGGAAUAAUGAAAUAGGACGUUUGAUUCUAUUUGUUGGUUUCUAGGAUUUUGACGUAAUGAUUAAUAGGAUAGUUGGGGCAUUAGUAUUCAAUUGU